GACGAACGCUGGCGGCGUGCUUAACACAUGCAAGUCGAACGGAUAACCCGGGCUUUCGUCUGGUGCUCGAGUGGCGAACGGGUGAGUAACACGUGAGUAACCUGCCCUGGACUUUGGGAUAACCGUAGGAAACUGCGUCUAAUACCGGCUAGGAGCUUGUGCCGCAUGAGGUGGGUUGGAAAGUUUGGUCGGUUUGGGAUGGACUCGCGGCUUAUCAGCUUGUUGGUGAGGUAGUGGCUAACCAAGGCUUUGACGGGUAGCCGGCCUGAGAGGGUGACCGGGCUCAGUGUGACGAAGGGACCGGCCAGAUUCGUACGGGAGGCAUGAGGGGGAAUUAUGACACAACGAGCGGAAGCUUGAGCAAGGAACCCUGCGGGAGGAAGGCCUUCGGUUUGGUGACAAAUUGCAGUAGGUUAGAACGGAGCGGGAUUGACGGUACCGGCAGAAGAAGCACCGGCUAACUACGUG
rnacentral:rRNA from 1 species